UGGCUCAGAACGAACGCUGGCGGCGCGUUUAAGCAUGCAAGUCGAGCGGCAAGGGCCUUCGGGCCCCUAGAGCGGCGGACGGGUGAGUAACACGUGGACAAUCCUGCCCCCCGGCCCGGGAUAGCCCAGGGAAACCUGGAUUAAUACCGGAUGAGACGGGACCCGCGAUGGCGGGAUCCGGGAAAGGCGCUGCGGCGCCGCCGGGGGAUGAGUCUGCGUCCCAUUAGCUAGACGGCGGGGUAACGGCCCACCGUGGCGACGAUGGGUAGCCGGCCUGAGAGGGUGGACGGCCACAUUGGAACUGAGACACGGUCCAGACUCCUACGGGAGGCAGCAGCUAAGAAUCUUCCGCAAUGGGCGAAAGCCUGACGGAAGCGACGCCGCGUGAACGAAGAAGGCCGUGAGGUUGUAAAGUUCUUUUCGGGAGGGGGAACAACCGUGGCAGGGAAUGGCCGCGGGAUGACGUGAAUCCCGGAAUAAGCCCCGGCUAACUACGUGCCAGCCGCCGC
rnacentral:rRNA from 1 species